GGGUUGUGAGGUUAAGCGACUAAGCGUACACGGUGGAUGCCCUGGCAGUCAGAGGCGAUGAAGGACGUGCUAAUCUGCGAUAAGCGCCGGUAAGGUGAUAUGAACCGUUAUAACCGGCGAUUUCCGAAUGGGGAAACCCAGUGUGACUCGUCACACUAUCAUUAACUGAAUCCAUAGGUUAAUGAGGCGAACCGGGGGAACUGAAACAUCUAAGUACCCCGAGGAAAAGAAAUCAACCGAGAUUCCCCCAGUAGCGGCGAGCGAACGGGGAGGAGCCCAGAGCCUGAAUCAGCAUGUGUGUUAGUGGAAGCGUCUGGAAAGGCGCGCGAUACAGGGUGACAGCCCCGUACACAAAAGCGCAUGUGCUGUGAGCUCGAUGAGUAGGGCGGGACACGUGGUAUCCUGUCUGAAUAUGGGGGGACCAUCCUCCAAGGCUAAAUACUCCUGACUGACCGAUAGUGAACCAGUACCGUGAGGGAAAGGCGAAAAGAACCCCGGCGAGGGGAGUGAAAAAGAACCUGAAACCGUGUACGUACAAGCAGUGGGAGCACCCUUUGGGGUGUGACUGCGUACCUUUUGUAUAAUGGGUCAGCGACUUAUAUUCUGUAGCAAGGUUAACCGAAUAGGGGAGCCGGAGGGAAACCGAGUCUUAAUUGGGCGUUAAGUUGCAGGGUAUAGACCCGAAACCCGGUGAUCUAGCCAUGGGCAGGUUGAAGGUUGGGUAACACUAACUGGAGGACCGAACCGACUAAUGUUGAAAAAUUAGCGGAUGACCUGUGGCUGGGGGUGAAAGGCCAAUCAAACCGGGAGAUAGCUGGUUCUCCCCGAAAGCUAUUUAGGUAGCGCCUCGUGAAUUCAUCUCCGGGGGUAGAGCACUGUUUCGGCUAGGGGGCCAUCCCGGCUUACCAACCCGAUGCAAACUGCGAAUACCGGAGAAUGUUAUCACGGGAGACACACGGCGGGUGCUAACGUCCGUCGUGAAGAGGGAAACAACCCAGACCGCCAGCUAAGGUCCCAAAGUCAUGGUUAAGUGGGAAACGAUGUGGGAAGGCCCAGACAGCCAGGAUGUUGGCUUAGAAGCAGCCAUCAUUUAAAGAAAGCGUAAUAGCUCACUGGUCGAGUCGGCCUGCGCGGAAGAUGUAACGGGGCUAAACCAUGCACCGAAGCUGCGGCAGCGAACGUAUCACUUAAAGCGAUUCAGCGGAUGACGAUUGACGGAGCGAAGCGACGUCAAAGCGUAUACAAAGUCGAGUCGGUUUAAGGAUACGUUCGUUGGGUAGGGGAGCGUUCUGUAAGCCUGUGAAGGUGGCCUGUGAGGGUUGCUGGAGGUAUCAGAAGUGCGAAUGCUGACAUAAGUAACGAUAAAGCGGGUGAAAAGCCCGCUCGCCGGAAGACCAAGGGUUCCUGUCCAACGUUAAUCGGGGCAGGGUGAGUCGACCCCUAAGGCGAGGCCGAAAGGCGUAGUCGAUGGGAAACGGGUUAAUAUUCCCGUACUUGGUGUUACUGCGAAGGGGGGACGGAGAAGGCUAUGUUGGCCGGGCGACGGUUGUCCCGGUUUAAGCGUGUAGGUGUGUGUUCCAGGUAAAUCCGGUUCACUUUAACACUGAGGCGUGACGACGAGGCACUACGGUGCUGAAGCAACAAAUGCCCUGCUUCCAGGAAAAGCCUCUAAGCAUCAGGUAACAUCAAAUCGUACCCCAAACCGACACAGGUGGUCAGGUAGAGAAUACCAAGGCGCUUGAGAGAACUCGGGUGAAGGAACUAGGCAAAAUGGUGCCGUAACUUCGGGAGAAGGCACGCUGACACGUAGGUGAAGUGAUUUACUCAUGGAGCUGAAGUCAGUCGAAGAUACCAGCUGGCUGCAACUGUUUAUUAAAAACACAGCACUGUGCAAACACGAAAGUGGACGUAUACGGUGUGACGCCUGCCCGGUGCCGGAAGGUUAAUUGAUGGGGUCAGCGCAAGCGAAGCUCCUGAUCGAAGCCCCGGUAAACGGCGGCCGUAACUAUAACGGUCCUAAGGUAGCGAAAUUCCUUGUCGGGUAAGUUCCGACCUGCACGAAUGGCGUAAUGAUGGCCAGGCUGUCUCCACCCGAGACUCAGUGAAAUUGAACUCGCUGUGAAGAUGCAGUGUACCCGCGGCAAGACGGAAAGACCCCGUGAACCUUUACUAUAGCUUGACACUGAACAUUGAGCCUUGAUGUGUAGGAUAGGUGGGAGGCUUUGAAGUGUGGACGCCAGUCUGCAUGGAGCCGGCCUUGAAAUACCACCCUUUAAUGUUUGAUGUUCUAACGUGGACCCGUGAUCCGGGUUGCGGACAGUGUCUGGUGGGUAGUUUGACUGGGGCGGUCUCCUCCUAAAGAGUAACGGAGGAGCACGAAGGUUGGCUAAUCCUGGUCGGACAUCAGGAGGUUAGUGCAAUGGCAUAAGCCAGCUUGACUGCGAGCGUGACGGCGCGAGCAGGUGCGAAAGCAGGUCAUAGUGAUCCGGUGGUUCUGAAUGGAAGGGCCAUCGCUCAACGGAUAAAAGGUACUCCGGGGAUAACAGGCUGAUACCGCCCAAGAGUUCAUAUCGACGGCGGUGUUUGGCACCUCGAUGUCGGCUCAUCACAUCCUGGGGCUGAAGUAGGUCCCAAGGGUAUGGCUGUUCGCCAUUUAAAGUGGUACGCGAGCUGGGUUUAGAACGUCGUGAGACAGUUCGGUCCCUAUCUGCCGUGGGCGCUGGAGAACUGAGGGGGGCUGCUCCUAGUACGAGAGGACCGGAGUGGACGCAUCACUGGUGUUCGGGUUGUCAUGCCAAUGGCACUGCCCGGUAGCUAAAUGCGGAAGAGAUAAGUGCUGAAAGCAUCUAAGCACGAAACUUGCCCCGAGAUGAGUUCUCCCUGAGACUUUAGGUCUCCUGAAGGAACGUUGAAGACGACGACGUUGAUAGGCCGGGUGUGUAAGCGCAGCGAUGCGUUGAGCUAACCGGUACUAAUGAACCGUGAGGCUUAACCUUACAACGCCGAAG
rnacentral:rRNA from 1 species